AUUGAACGCUGGCGGAAUGCUUUACACAUGCAAGUCGAGCGGCAGCACGGGGGCAACCCUGGUGGCGAGCGGCGAACGGGUGAGUAAUACAUCGGAACAUGCCCAGUCGUGGGGGAUAACACUUCGAAAGAAGUGCUAAUACCGCAUACGUCCUGAGGGAGAAAGCGGGGGAUCGCAAGACCUCGCGCGAUUGGAGUGGCCGAUGUCAGAUUAGCUAGUUGGUGGGGUAAAGGCCUACCAAGGCAACGAUCUGUAGCUGGUCUGAGAGGAUGAUCAGCCACACUGGGACUGAGACACGGCCCAGACUCCUACGGGAGGCAGCAGUGGGGAAUUUUGGACAAUGGGGGCAACCCUGAUCCAGCCAUUCCGCGUGAGUGAAGAAGGUCUUCGGGUUGUAAAGCUCUUUCGGCAGGAACGAAACGGCGAGCUCUAACAUAGCUUGCUAAUGACGGUACCUGAAGAAGAAGCACCGGCUAACUACGUG
rnacentral:rRNA from 1 species